UCUCCGUAGGUGAACCUGCGGAGGGAUCAUUACUGAGUGAGGGCUUCGGUCCGACCUCCAACCCUUUGUGAAUCGUACUCGUUGCUUCGGGGGCGACCCUGCCGUCCGCGGCUGAGCGCCCCCGGGGUCAAUCAAACACUGCAUCUUUGCGUCGGAGUUUAAGUAAAUUAAACAAAACUUUCAACAACGGAUCUCUUGGUUCUGGCAUCGAUGAAGAACGCAGC
rnacentral:misc_RNA from 1 species